rnacentral:misc_RNA from 1 species
GGAACUUGGCUCCUAACUGAUCGAGGUCACCUGGUUAAAAGAUUGGUUGCGAGGCUAGCUGCCAGCUGGACCUACGGGAGCGGGUGACAAAGCCCCAUACGCUCGAGGACCAGACAUGGUGCCGCCACUGCCUUUUGGGCCCGUCCCCGUUGCCAGGGACGGAAGCCCAACACACAAGCCGUGCUUGAGGGCAGCAAUGACGCUCGGACAGGCAUGCCCCCCGGAAUACCAGGGGGCGCAAUGUGGGUUCAAAGACUCGAUCAUUGACUUAAUUCUGCGAAUCACAUUUAUUAUCGUAUUUUGCUGCGUUCUUCAUCGAUGGCGGGAACAACAAAGCCCGCUGUUAAAGGUUUUUAGAAUUGUUUUUUAAGAAAGUACAAUGAGUAACUCCUCUAACGUAUGGAGUUUGUAAGUAUCGUUCGCGUAGAGGCAACGCGAACGAACCGGGCAGCGAAUGAAUUUAACGGGGGGGAGGUCGGAUAAGGUAGGGAUACGCGCUGAAUUUAAGAAUAUGUAAUCCUGGAGAAAACGGAUCCUCUGGGUCCUCCCUCCCUCGUGUCUCUCUGUCCCUGUUGCUUCGGCUUGGCC